GUGGGGAAUAUUGGACAAUGGGGGGAACCCUGAUCCAGCCAUGCCGCGUGUGUGAAGAAGGCCUUUUGGUUGUAAAGCACUUUAAGCGAGGAGGAGGCUACCGAGAUUAAUACUCUUGGAUAGUGGACGUUACUCGCAGAAUAAGCACCGGCUAACUCUGUGCCAGCAGCCGCGGUAAUACAGAGGGUGCAAGCGUUAAUCGGAUUUACUGGGCGUAAAGCGCGCGUAAGUGGCCAAUUAAGUAAAAUGUGAAAUCCCCGAGCUUAACUUGGGAAUUGCAUUCGAUACUGGUUGGCUAGAGUAUGGGAGAGGAUGGUAGAAUUCCAGGUGUAGCGGUGAAAUGCGUAGAGAUCUGGAGGAAUACCGAUGGCGAAGGCAGCCAUCUGGCCUAAUACUGACACUGAGGUGCGAAAGCAUGGGGAGCAAACAGGAUUAGAUACCCGUGUAGUCC
rnacentral:rRNA from 1 species